rnacentral:rRNA from 1 species
GAUGAACGCUGGCGGCGUGCCUAAUACAUGCAAGUCGAGCGAACGGACGAGAAGCUUGCUUCUCUGAUGUUAGCGGCGGACGGGUGAGUAACACGUGGAUAACCUACCUAUAAGACUGGGAUAACUUCGGGAAACCGUAGCUAAUACCGGCUAAUAUUUUGAACCGCAUGGUUCAAAAGUGAAAGACGGUCUUGCGGUCACUUAUAGAUGGAUCCGCGCUGCAUUAGCUAGUUGGUAGGGUAACGGCUUACCAAGGCAACGAUGCAUAGCCGACCUGAGAGGGUGAUCGGCCACACUGGAACUGAGACACGGUCCAGACUCCUACGGGAGGCAGAAGUAGGGAAUCUUCCGCAAAGGGCGAAAGCCUGACGGAGCAACGCCGCGUGAGUGAUGAAGGUCUUCGGAUCGUAAAACUCUGUUAUUAGGGAAGAACAUAUGUGUAAGUAACUGUGCACAUCUUGACGGUACCUAAUCAGAAAGCCACGGCUAACUACGUG